rnacentral:lncRNA from 10 species
AGUUUUUACCACCAUAAAGCAUUUUUUUGUAAAGUGAAAACUAGUAGCAAAAGAUUGAAGUGGAUUUUUAAAACAGUGUCAAUUUAUUUUAGAAGAACCAUUUAUUAUAGAAGGAACAUACCACAUGUUAGCCAUUUAUAGCACCAUCAUCAAAUUACUAUCAACCACUGCCCUCUUCUUCUUUUGUAAGUAUGUCAUAAUAAAUAAUUUUGGUUCCUCAAAGAACCAUGCUAGAUAAAAAGAAAGAUUGUUAUUAAUGGUUUAAACAAGAAAAAAGGUUAGAAUCUGUUUUGGGGAUUUACUUCUUUGCUUUUUAAAACUAGUAAAGUCUUGAACUCUUGAGUUCAAGCUAUCACAGCCUCACAAAGUGCUGGGAUUACAGGCGUGAGCCACCAUGCCCAGCCCUCAAUAUUUUUUAAUAGAUAGUAUGCAAGGGGAUUAGAAAAGUGUAAUAAGAAAGGAGUUGAAAAAGAGAGCAAACUAAUGCAAAAUAAUUACUAAAGACUUCUUGACAAUGGCAAAAUCAUCCUACACAGCUGCUCUGAGAUCUCAGCACUUGCUGUCAGCUACCUUCUGGCAAAGCUACUUUGUCAAAUGGAUGCAAUAGGAUCCAUAUUGAUCUUUGUGAAGGAAUAUCUUUAUUAAUAUAAGCAAACACGCCUCUCACUUAUAGUAAUGUAGAGGUGUGGGCUUUUUCUUUUAGUAGUAUUGUUUCCCCAACAUAUAACUCUUGAACUAAAUGUCAUUAUGUCAAAUUCUGAGAUAUUAAACAAUUGUUGAAAUGUAAAAUUGUGGACAUUUAGGUUUGCAGCCUAAAAAGUUUUGUCAAUCUUUUCUAGACAUUCUGAAAUGGAAAUGAACAGGUGGAUUGAAAACAAAGACAAAUGAGGAGUUUAAAGACUUUCUUGGCACCUCAUAGAGAAGUUGCUCUACGCUGGUUAUGUUUUAAACAAAACACAUAUAAAUACAUUCAGCAUUUCUGGAAACAGAUUUAUUAGAUCUUUCCAUUUACCUUUGGGAAAAAAAUAUAGAGGACUCAAGGCAAUUAUUCACUAUAUUCUUUCUAUCAUGUAUUAUUUAAUCUCAAGCUAGGAGAGGAACUCUGUUUUACAUGAUGCCAUAAUGUACAUUAGUGAGCUCAACCCACUUAAUCUUAAAAUAACAGUAUCAGGUCAGGGAUUUAGAAUACAGUAUUAUAUGAAAACAGUUGGCAGAGAGACUCCCUCUUCUGCCAUUAAUAACUGGAAACGAUAUUUCAGACCCUAAAUCCAACUGAAACCCAGAAACAAUACAUGGAGAGGAUGGGGUGGAUAAUUUGUGAGAACAUGUUUUUCAAAGUAGAGAAAGAAUCACUAUGUUUUUGCUGAAUUAUAUGUUGCCAUGGACAUGGCAGUUUGCAGUAAUGAUGCUAUCAUCUAUACAGCUGUAUAACAACACAGCUUCUUUCUCUCCCACUCCUUCAGUAAGGCUUAAAAAUAAUAGGUUUGUGUGUAGUUUGGUAAGAAAAUUAGAAUCACUUAAAGUCAUUUCAAUUCCAACCCAAGAAAGAAAAAAAGAGACUUGGGGGGAUGGGGAAGAAGAGCAAACAAAAUGUAGAAAAAAUACAUAUUAUUGGCCGGGCACGGUGGCUCACGCCUGUAAUCCCAGCACUUUGGGAGGCCAAGGUAGGCGGAUCAUCUGACAUCAGGAGUUCGAGACCAACCUGACCAACAUGGUGAAACCCUGUCUCUACUAAAAAGACAAAAAAAUUAGCCGGGCGUGGUGGCACAUGCCUGUAAUCCCAGCUACUCAGGAGGGUGAGACAGGAGAAUCGCUUGAACCCAGGAGG